GACCGAGGGUGCAAACGUUGUUCGGAAUUACUGGGCGUAAAGCGUGUGUAGGCGGCUAUGUAAGUCGGAUGUGAAAGCCCCGGGCUCAACUCGGGAAGUGCACUCGAUACUGCGUAGCUAGAGUACCGGAGAGGUUGGUGGAAUUCUCGGUGUAGAGGUGAAAUUCGUAGAUAUCGAGAGGAACACCGGUGGCGAAGGCGGCCAACUGGACGAGUACUGACGCUGAGACACGAAAGCGUGGGGAGCAAACAGG
rnacentral:rRNA from 1 species